rnacentral:siRNA from 1 species
GGAUGAUGGUAAGUGCCAUGG